rnacentral:tRNA from 1 species
GUCAGGAUGGCCGAGCGGUCUAAGGCGCCAGACUCAAGUUUCAUAACUUGCUCCGCUAAUGUGCAGGCAAAGGGCGUUCUGGUCCACUAAUUUGGCCGUGGGUUCGAAUCCCACUCCUGACA